rnacentral:rRNA from 1 species
AGUGAACGCUGGCGGUAGGCCUAACACAUGCAAGUCGAACGGCAGCACAGUAAGAGCUUGCUCUUACGGGUGGCGAGUGGCGGACGGGUGAGGAAUACAUCGGAAUCUACUUUUUCGUGGGGGUUAACGUAGGGAAACUUACGCUAAUACCGCAUACGACCUACGGGUGAAAGCAGGGGAUCUUCGGACCUUGCGCGAUUCAAUGAGCCGAUGUCGGAUUGGCUAGUUGGCGGGGUAAAGGCCCACCAAGGCGACGCUCCGUAGCUGGUCUGAGAGGAUGAUCAGCCACACUGGAACUGAGACACGGUCGAGACACCUACGGAAGGCAGCAGUGGGGAAUAUUGGACAAGGGGCGAAAGCCUGAUCCAGCCAUACCGCGUGGGUGAAGAAGGCCUUCGGGUUGUAAAGCCAUUUUGUUGGGAAAGAAAAGCAGCAGGUUAAUACCCCGAUGUUCUGACGGUACCCAAAGAAUAAGCACCGGCUAACUUCGUG